UCAGAAUUUGCACAUGGCUGUCUGAGCAGGUGCUUGGCUCCUCCGUAUUUUGGGAGGGGGUUGCCUUGGGAACCAAAGAGCUUAUGAAUCUUCCAGAACAUGCACUUUGGAUUCUGGAAAAGGUAUCAGAACAAUGCUAGGCUGGAUUUCCCUUGAAGUCAUUCCACUGGAUCACAGAAGCCCCUGGGCUUGCCUCUGGAUCCAGAGACCUGACCUGAGGGGUCAUGAUACCUGUUUCUUGCAGGUCUCUCUAUGCAUGGCUGUCAGCUAUAAUUCUUCAUUUCUACUAAGCACACGAUCAGUUACAAGAUUGCAGCCUUGCUGUCAGGGGUGACCCCAGGUGAGUGACAUUUCACGUGUGUGUGUGUGUGUG